rnacentral:rRNA from 1 species
AUGGAUACCGAUGUUUUCCGUGAAUUUAGCAGUAAAUAUGGAUUUGACUCUGAGAUAGUAGCUUCUUCCGGUGAAUCCUUUACUACUCAUGUUGAUCUCCCUAAGGAGAAGUGGUUUAAAUAUAAUCCUCCCAUUGAAGUAAAAGUAGUUGAACCUAUUAAAGUAGAAAAAAAGACUAUCACUUAUAAUGUUGAUCCUAUUGUUCCUACCGCUUAUAUUGAGAAACCACCUUUCCCUAUUAGAAUAAAGGAUCAUGCUAAAGCUUCAACUGUGGUUCGUAAGAGUAAUACUAUAACACCUACACCCUCUGAGCAAAUUAAAGUUGAACCUAGUAUUUAUAUGGUUAAAGAUCUCUUAGCCAAUAAUAUUGAUGGGCAUGUUAUUUAUUUCUGUAAUGAAGAUGCUAGAAUUGCUAGACCCGAUACUAAGGGUAAACAUACACCAGUUAUUGGCAUGCCGGUUAUUUCUGUUAAAAUAGGAGAACAUUGUUAG